rnacentral:rRNA from 1 species
AUUGAACGCUGGCGGCAUGCCUUACACAUGCAAGUCGAACGGCAGCGCGGACUUCGGUCUGGCGGCGAGUGGCGAACGGGUGAGUAAUACAUCGGAACGUACCCUGUUGUGGGGGAUAACUAGUCGAAAGAUUAGCUAAUACCGCAUACGACCUGAGGGUGAAAGUGGGGGACCGCAAGGCCUCACGCAGCAGGAGCGGCCGAUGUCUGAUUAGCUAGUUGGUGGGGUAAAGGCCCACCAAGGCGACGAUCAGUAGCUGGUCUGAGAGGACGAUCAGCCACACUGGGACUGAGACACGGCCCAGACUCCUACGGGAGGCAGCAGUGGGGAAUUUUGGACAAUGGGGGCAACCCUGAUCCAGCAAUGCCGCGUGUGUGAAGAAGGCCUUCGGGUUGUAAAGCACUUUUGUCCGGAAAGAAAUCGCGCUGGUUAAUACCUGGCGUGGAUGACGGUACCGGAAGAAUAAGCACCGGCGAACUACGU